GAUCUGGUGGUGGAAUUGGUACUAUGCCCGCUUUCUGUAUAGGCGAAGCUUUAAUUUAAGCGGGAGUUCCUCGUUCGAUUCGGGGCGAGGUCA